rnacentral:rRNA from 1 species
ACUCCCCAGGCGGAGUGCUUAAUGCGUUAGCUGCAGCACUAAGGGGCGGAAACCCCCUAACACUUAGCACUCAUCGUUUACGGCGUGGACUACCAGGGUAUCUAAUCCUGUUUGAUCCCCACGCUUUCGCACAUCAGCGUCAGUUACAGACCAGAAAGUCGCCUUCGCCACUGGUGUUCCUCCAUAUCUCUGCGCAUUUCACCGCUACACAUGGAAUUCCACUUUCCUCUUCUGCACUCAAGUUUUCCAGUUUCCAAUGACCCUCCACGGUUGAGCCGUGGGCUUUCACAUCAGACUUAAAAAACCGCCUACGCGCGCUUUACGCCCAAUAAUUCCGGAUAACGCUUGCCACCUACGUAUUACCGCGGCUGCUGGCACAUAGUUAGCCGUGGCUUUCUGAUUAGGUACCGUCAAGGUGUGCACAGUUACUUACACAUAUGUUCUUCCCUAAUAACAGAGUUUUACGAUCCGAAGACCUUCAUCACUCACGCGGCGUUGCUCCGUCAGGCUUUCGCCCAUUGCGGAAGAUUCCCUACUGCUGCCUCCCGUAGGAGUCUGGACCGUGUCUCAGUUCCAGUGUGGCCGAUCACCCUCUCAGGUCGGCUAUGCAUCG